rnacentral:lncRNA from 1 species
GGAGUGGCAAGGCCUUAGUAAUGAACAUAUUCAGACUGAAGGGACUGUGCAGGGAGAGACAUAAACUGAGGUUAAAUUCCAUCACAUGUAAAACUUCUAGCAAGUCAUGCAGCUUCUCCCUUCCACACAAGACAGCUUAGAGAUCAAUGAAAUAAACUAAGCCAAAACAGAAACAAAAAGACAGGAGACACAAAGCAUUAGCUAGGUAAGAAUGAGAUAUUCAAUUACGCAAAGUGAUUGUAAGAAAACUUUAUAUUUUAAAAGGUUUACUAAUUUAUUUAUAGUGAUUAAAAAAUUAAGUUUUAAUUUAAAAAUCGGUAGGUAGCCUAAACUCAUCUCUAAGCAUUUCUACAAUUAAUGAGUUUUACUUAACAAUAUUAAAAGAUACUUUUAACUAAUUAAAGAUUACUAGAAUAUACUUUGAGAUGAUAUAUCCUUAAAUUUAAUUCAGUACAUAUCAAUGGCAUGCUUCUAAUGCAGUAGAAUUAGCAGCCAUUUAAAUAAAUUCCUUAAGCAUGCUUGAAUUUAUAAAUAUCUUACACAUCCUUUCCCUUAAGGGGAAAUGAAGUACUACCAGCUUGAAAUCUGAUCUUAAGACCCAAAAACAUUUAUGCAGAAGAGUCUUGCUGUCGGAAUUUAAUAAACAAUAGGCAAUUUUCAAGUAAACCAUACAAAUUCUUCCACAUCACAUUAGAUACUAACAUAUAAAAGGAUUGUGAUUGGGAUAUGUAAUCAGAAUGCCUGGGACAACAGACAUAAACCAGGAAAAGAUAGAGAGUUACAGAAAGUUUGCCAAACAGUUAUUUUUUUUAGCAGGAAACAGUGAUUAGAAAAAGGAACAUAAAUCAAUCUAAACAUUAACAAAUUUUUUGCUCAAUUCUUCCAAUUAAAUACCUGAGGAUAACAAAGUUUACUUGAUUUUCUAGUAAAUGCCCUUUUCUCCCACCCAAUAAUUAUUUCUCAAAUUAGUCUGUAACAUUUCAUUAACAGGUCUAGUCAAUUAUAAGACAGGUCCAUUUUGGUGAUGAUAUAGGUUAUCAGUAAAAAAGAAUCUGUCCAUUUUCCAAAGAACUUACAAAAGGAUUCAAGCUAUCUUUUCUCAGCUUCAAAACUGCAGUGAAUUUUACACCCCAUGAACAGCCAAAUGGCUGUUCCUGAGUAAGUCCCUGUUAACACAGUAUGUCAAAGAGUUAUGGUCCCUGACCGCAAAGGGCGAAAGCCACAAUGUCAUAACAGAUGUGAAAUGAAAAGACAGCGGUGUCGACAUUAAAUAGUAAUAUACAUAGUGUAAAGUUAACAUCGUGCACCAGGAAAGGCUUAGGUGAGAGGUAGUAAGGGAAAUGGGUGGUUCUCAAGGCUGCCAGUUUCAAGAGCUGUAGGAAGAAUGGAAAAGGUUUGGCUAUUGACUUUCUUGUAUGUGGUUCAUGCUAAUACUUCAAAAUAGGUGUGAGAUGAUCAAGAAUCAGAGCACUAUACUAUAAAUAUACCUGAACCCACAGUGCGAAUAAAAGAGGUAAGACCCUAAGAAAGUCCAGUGAAGUUGGUCAAAAGCCUUGAAGCCCAUAUACAUUCCACUUGAGGGACGCCAGCUACCACACUCGCAAUUAGAGCAUAAACAUUUUUCUACCUGCUUUUUCUCGGUUUCUUCUAAGUCUGGCAAGCAGUCAGAGGGCAGAGCCAGUUAAGUCCCCCAGCUAUAAGAAUGCCACAAAGGUAUGUUGUGCGUGUAUGUGUGUGUGUGUAGCUCAGCUAGUGCUUUCUUGAGAAUAUUUAACUUUUACUUUUGUUCCGAUUAGUAAAGUUGUGCAUGUUAUCACUAACAGAAAUCAGAAAUUCUUCAAACUGCAUAUAACUUAGAACAAAGUUGUUUUUGCAAGCUCCAUCAAUUAUCAAUAAACAGAGAUGUAGCAAAUAAACAUUAGACAAGCGACCUUUGUUAAACCAACUUUUUUAUAGGGUAAAGUAUUUCAUAUGUACAUCAAUAUAGAGGGGCAAAUAUGUGUGUGUGCAUAUAUUUAUAUAUAUAAACACACACAUAUAUAUAUUCAUUUAUUUACAUAUUUAUUUAGUGAAUCACAGUACCCAGUGAACUGGAAAACAGAAAUAGUCUAGAACAUUUUAAAGAUUUCUAUUAUUCAUAUGGAGAAUAUAUUCAUUAGUCUUCUAUCCAAAGCCUUUACUUCCACAGAGCUCAAAAACUCUGGCUGGUGUUUAAUCUAGGCUCAGAUACAGCUCACCACAAGCCCCACUAUUUCCUUUUCCAACCCCCUAGUUUGCUCUCUUAUGUUGCCUAACUGGCCCUGCAGGCCUCUGCAAACAAAUGAUGACACCAUUUGGCCAACGAAUUGACCUUCUGUCCCACCAGUUCAAUUCAUUCAACAAAUAAUUACUGAACAUAAGUUGUAUCUAUUAAGCACUAGAGGAUAAAAAUACAAUACCAAAGUCCUCAAAACAAAACAUGUUCCAUGGUUUCUUUAUAUGGUAUAAAGGAAAGUGAAAUGAAAGAUCAGUAAAAAGGGUUCAGCAAAUUAUUCUGACAUCAGUAUUUUGUAACAAAUUAACUUCCUUUCAUUUUCAAUCUAAAAUAAAAAUCUUAAUACAGAUGCACUAAGGGGGCCACAGUGGCUCACACCUGUAAUCCCAGCACUUUGGGAGGCCGAGGCGGGUGGAUCAUCUGAGGUUAGGAGUUCAAGGCCAGCCUGGCCAACAUGGCGAAACUCCAUCACCACUAAAACUACAAAAGAUUAGCAGGGCAUGGUGGCACAUUCCUGUAAUCCCAGCUACUCGGGAGGUUGAGGCAGGAGAAUCACUUGAACCCGGGAGGCGGAAACUGCAGCGAGCUCAGAUCACUCCAUUGCACUCCAGCCUGGGUGACACAGCAAAACUCCGUCUCAAAAAAAAAAAAAAAGAAAGAAAGAAAUGCACUAAGGGGAGAAGAGAAUUGUUCAAGUCUCCAAGAUCUAUUCACUUAACAAAAGCAUAACUAACACUGUGAGACCUUUCUAUUCAGGGAGCAACAGUGUUGGAUGACAGGAAUAUUUAAACUUCAGGUAUCACAUGGUUAUCCUACGGGGUUGUGCUGACGGUCUCUCUGGGUCAUUUGUACUCAGCCACAGUUGAGGAAACCUCAAGGAAAAACACAAGUACUCUCCAUUUCAAAUCUUAGACAGGUUAGAUAGAUAAGCCAGAUGAGUGCCUGGUGGGACCUAAUACACAUCGUAACAAAGCAUAACUUCAUGCUUUUUUUGUAGUCACAGGUAGGACUACCAACUAUAUACAAUGUUUUCCAAAUGUCCAUGUAUUGUAAAAUUACUAAUAUCCCAGAAAAGACUAUAGCCAGUUACUGGCAUUUUUAAUUUUUAUAGUAAAAUUACAUUUUAUAGUAAAAUUGCAUUUGCAUUUUGAAUUCCAUGAACAAUAUUAUUGCUAUUGAUUUUCGUAUUCAAAAAUAGAUUAAAUACAACUAGCUGAACUUCUUAACAAAUUAGAUAUAUUACUUGACACAUCAAUUAUUCUGAACUAGAUAUUUGAGUACUUCCUAUAUGCUAAGGACAGUUCUAAACAUCUUAUACAUAUUCACGCAUUAAAUGUUUCAGACAACCCACUUUACAGAUGAGGAAACUGAGGCACAAAGCAGUAAUUAGCCCCAAUUCAUGUAAUUAAGAAUUGGUGGAGCUGGAAUUUGAACCCUAGCAGUCUGACUCUAAAGCUCAAACCCUUAGCUACCAUAGUUUAAUGUCUCAAGACAGCGAGCAUUUGCCUUGUGAUCACUACAUAUUCAAUCCAACAUUCUCUAUCACCCUAACAUAGACAAAUAAUGACCUUAGGCAAGAUAUGAUUCUGAGUGAAUAAAAAAAAUUAUUAAAAAAUAUUUGUUGCAUUAAAAGAUAAAUACAUUUUUGAAUGAUUUUCAUCAGGCCUGAAUUCAAAGAAUUUUCAGGAAUAUUCUAAAUUUAAAAGAAAUUUUCAUUAUAAGAACAUCCAUGCUUAAGUAUUAUGAGUUGAUUAAAGUUUUAAUUCUGAUUGGCCAAUGUUUUUAGUUGUUACAAUAAUGAAUUAAUGAAUCUGAAAUACAAAAUAAAUUAUAACAAUGACAGUGAAGAUGGUUAUAAAGAAAGUGAAAAUAAUUUUUAUACCUGAAGUACAAAUAUUAUUUUAGAAGUUAGCCCUUGUUUAUAUAACCAAGAGAUUUUAAUUUCUCAAAUAUAAUAUUCAAGCUCAUUUAAUUAGUAAGCUCAACAGAGUUAUAGUGAGUUAGGACCAGAUCAAGUUUAUUAUGAAUAUGUGGUAUUCUUAUUGUAUGAAUACCAUAAAAUUAAUAAUGUAGCAAUAUUCAACCUGAAAAAUAAGGAUAAAAUUGCCUUACAUUUGCAGCCCCCAAAAUUUUUAUGUCAAAAUAUAAGCUUCCAUCAAGAAGUCUUGUUCCCUGAAAGCAGUAAGAUUUGACAUAAAACAAAGUGUUAGGUAAGGAGAUCAAGACAAUUUGUUCUGUUCUGGAAAUCUGCUACUAAUCUGUUUUGGCAGAUGUAGGUAGUAACUUUAAAAUUUUAGCUAUUCUGGAGGUGUUUCUUUUUUAAACAGCCCAGUUACCUAAUCAUGGCAGGAACAUGUCUAAUAAUUACAGAUAUAAAUAUUGUACAGAUGGUUAAUAAAUAAAACAUGUUAGCUAUCAAAAACAGCAAAUUAUAAAGAAUAAUGAAAGAUUAAGGUCCUUGACAGCAAAUGAAUGUAACGAUGUCUUAAUGUUCAAAUAACUUGAACCAAAGGAUCCAAUGGCCUGGAAUGUUAGCAUCCUACUAAGGUCAAAAUCCUGAUUCAAAAUGUUCAUGGACUUUUUUGCCACACUGACAUUUUCUUUCCUACAUUUUCCCCAGUCCUUUAAGGAAUAAACAAUAGUGUACUAGUUAUCCCUGGUUUAAGUUCUAACCACAGAGGCAAAAAGAACCUAAAAUAAAAAUGGUUUGUUUUAAUGUGAUUGAAAUUAAAGGAAAAAAUACAUGCUUGGCAACAUGGUAUUUUAUAUACAUAACUAUAGUGUUUUAAGUUUUAAUGAACAAAUACAACACUGGGGAAAAAUAAAUACACCCAUAACUGCCUCUGUACUCCUAUGUCUCUUUAAGCCUUUGUAAUAGAGUUUCCAGUUUUUGUAUUGCUCACAAAUUAACACAUAAAAUGUGUGCAUUGAUACUUAUUUCCAUAACUGUGGUUUCACAAUACUGAAAGUAUUUUUUAUUUUUUAUUUCAAUAGGUUUUGAGGUACAAGUGGUUUUUGGCUACAUGGAUGAAUUGUAUAGUGGUGAAGUCUGUGACUUUAGUGCACCUGUCACCCAAGUAGUGUAUAUUGUACCCAACAUGUACAAUACUGAAAGAAUUUGCCUCUGUUAAUAUGAUACAUAUUUCCUCCAAUAACACUAGAUGAAAUGUAGCUGGGUAUGGUUUUAUUGGCAUCAUAUUAAGAUAAAAGGAUGAAGGUUUGUGUUAAAAUCAGGUUCGAAAGGUGUGUGUGCAUUUUUCCAUAGUGUUCUCUGUGCAUUUCAGGGACUUCAAGACUUAAAAAGCCAAUUUGGGCUCAUUAUAAUGCUAUAUAAAAUAGUCUUUCACCUUCCUACAUGAUUUUUAAUAGAUUCUUUUUUCUGGAGAAAUUUAAUAUAUGCUUUUCAACAAUCACAAAGAGCUCAAUUGUUAGAUGACAGAUUGUUGACACCCAGCUUGACUCAGCCAACCAUUACAUGAGUGUUUUCAGUUCAUCUGAACACCAAAAUUAUAUUGAUGCAAACUCAGUUAAAAUUUAUUUUCUCUUAUUUUAGUAAAGCCACAUUUCUAGAAAAAAAAUACACAACUCCCAGAUUACCGUAUAUUAAAGCUAAAGCUGGAAACUUGUUUGUUUUCUGUUAGUGCUUCAUAUGCUAACAAUGAGACCCAGGCUCCUAAACACUUUAACAUUCACGAACCCAGAUACAUUAUCUGACUUUUAGUUCAAUAAGUAUUUAUUAGGCACUUAUACUGUACUGUGGAACCUCAGGAAACAAGAGAUGUUUCUGAGAAGCUUAAAGGAAAGCAGAGGAGAGAGAGAAUCAUGUAUAACUGACUAUAAUAUGAGAGUGUCAGCGCUCCUAGGAGAGUCGAGAAAGGAAGAGCCAUUCUGUUUAGAUGGGUCACAAAUGCUUAUCAAAAAGAUAACUAUCGAGCCAGGUCAAGAAAUACAAAAUCAAGCAGAGAAACAAGGGAAAGCAGAGUGGACUGCAAGUGCUAGGGUUCAGGCUUAAGGCAGGUCGUGCCAGGUAGAGCUGCUGGAGAGGAGGCUGGCAGGGAGGCACACAGCCCGACAGGGAAGAACCCUGAAUGCCAAGCCAGGGGAGCCAGACUUGACCCAGUAGGCAGAGUGCAGCCACUGAACAAAGCCAAACAUGAGAAGGAUUUGAUUAGCUCUGUGUCUCAGAAAUUUAACACUGGCAACAGUAUAGAGGAAAGAUUAAAGGUAAGAGACAGGAAGACAGAAAGGGCUAUGCGAUAGUUCAUGAAGACCCCAAUUAAGGCAGCAGUGGUAAGAAUGGAAGGACAGAGGCAUUUUAGAGGGAGACUUGAUAGGACUUAGUGACUGGUGUGACAAGGGAAAGGCAGGCAGAAGUAGUGUCAAAGCUGACUCCAAAUGUCUAGCUUGGAUGACUGGAUGAAUAAAGAUGAGAUUAUUCGGCUAGGAAACCAAAGAGGAGCUGGCAAUGGAAGGAACCUGUAUUCUCUCUAUCCCAGGUAACACCCAGAGGAAGCUGGGAGUGUAGGUCCAAUGCUCAGGAGGUUACCCAAAGAGAAAGAGCCAAUGUAAGGACAAUCAUUAAGGGGCAGGCUUAGGAGUAGAAGGACUAACAGGAGCCCAUCAGAUCUGGCCUUGAAGAAGUCGGCAGUAAUCUGCGGGAGAGACUUUCACCAGAAUGAGGGGCCACCUCCCAGCUGUAGAGCGGAGGAGUAUCAAAGAGACAAGGGAGGGGGAAGUGCAGGCUUCUCUUUCCCCAAGUGUGGCCAUAAAGGAGAAACUGUGAGAGGAAGACAGGGCCAAGGGAAGACUCCUCCCCAGCCCCCACCAGCCUACCAACUUGGAUGUGCACAUUUGCAGUUGAGGAGACCUGCAAACGGAGGGUAAGAGGCUGAAGAUACAAAAGGAGAAGGAAGUGGUUAGGGCAACUUCAUGAAAGAUUCUGGAAAGAACAGUACAGGUAGGUAGAGUUAUCAUUGGAAAACAGUAGAGUUUCUUUGGAAUUAAAAGGGAAGGAAGAAAUGGAUGAGUCCAGAUGCAGAUAAACUUUGAGACAGAGAAGAGGGAAGUUAGAGGAAAUUACUUCUGAUAAAUUCUAUGUUCUUAGCAGAUCUCAAAGCAGGGUCAGCUGGCUCUGGAGAUCAGGAAGGGGUUGUGUUGGUGAAAAAUGUUAAAAAGUUUUGGAACAGCCAGGUGGGGAAGAGAAAAGGAGCCAAAAAGGGAUAAAACAACUAAUUAGGAGCACUGAAGGGCCGGGUAAAUUAGAAACACAUUUGAGAUGGAGCCAAUUGGCAAAGUUAUAGGAUUUUCUCCAACAGUGCUCACAGGAGAGAGAUGAGGAACAGAUACAACAGAUGGUUGAAUUGAUCUAAUUUUGGAGGCUGGUAAUCAAGUGGUUACAGAAUGUCCAAGUAGCAGUGAGAAUGUUGGAAAAAGGAAGCAAAAAUGACUAUGCAGGCUGUAGAAGGAAAGAGGUGAACUGAGAUGGCUGGGGAAACAGGCAGGGUCAGAAAGAGGUCAUGGAGCAGAGUUAGGAGGAGGGGGAAAUGUUUAAAGGAGGCUGGCAGGAUUCAAGAUGUCAGAAGCAAUGUGCUAAGCAAUAAGAAGGUUUAUUCAAUGAAUUUUCAAGUGAACAAAAAUAAAGAUAACUGAGGUUAAGAAAGUUUAAAAUAAGAUCACUGUGACACCUUGGGCAAGUUAUUGCCAUUCUGAGUCUUGAUUUCCCCAUCUGUAAAUAGCAGGUUAAAUAAAUAAGAUAAUGGAUAUAAAGUACCUAAUACCAUGCCAGGCACAUAGAAGGUAUUCAAGAAACAGUGGAUGAUGACAAUGAUUAGAAAAAUGUUACAGUUGUCCAGAAUGUUGGCAGUGCCCAGGCAGCUAAAAAGUAGAAGCAAAAGUCUUCCAGGGAUGAAGGGAGGUGAUAACAGUGAUGAGGACAAAACGAUAUGAGUAUCCUUGGAUGAUGUUUUCAAAAGACAGGAGAGCAUGGAAACGAGGUUCCUAAUAGGAAAUGGGAACACAGCCUUUCCCCUCUUAACCAUAAAGAUUCAGGAGCUACCAGAGAGUAAGUAAUGUGUACUUAAAGAGUAAAUAAGGGAAAAUGAGAUAGAAUGGGUCAACCUUAUUUUGCUCACUUUCAAAUUGAGACUUCAUGAUUUUCUCUUACAGUCUACUGCUUUUUCAUAACAGAAGGCUGAAGGACUCACAACAGUCUGCCCAAGAGAGAAAAAUAUCUACUUCUAAACUGAUAAAAACAGUUCUCUCCCACAUAUAUCAACCUUUGAGUUGUUUAGACAUUCACUAUCAAGGAGAGCCUGCGUCAUUUACCAAAGGUUUCUGUUACGGGCAAAUCCAAUGAUUUUACAAGCAAUGUGCACGUGGUGUCUGUGCUUCUUUGCACAUGCAUGCACAUCCACAUGUAUGUGUAUGUGUGUGUAAGAGGAAGGUGCAAUAAAAAUAUGCCUUUCUAAGUUAAAGAUCUGACACACAUGUGCACACACAGUAAAAUUCAAAUUUUUGGAAGAAACAAAUGACCUACACAGUAUUAGAAAAGAUGCAAGUAUGGACUGAGUAUACCCACAAUCAAACAGGUAAGCAUAGCUCAAUGCCAGAUGCUUUGGAGAUAACAAAAAUAAAAGACAUUUUCUAACCUCAAUCAAGGAAUUCAGUGGGGAUUCAAGGCCCACAUCCACAAGAUAGGUGACUCUCAACACAAAAGAGGGAUGAGGAAGGCCAAUAACCAAUACAAACAGAAUGACUUCAAAAAACAUCAUGAUUGCUAUGGUCUGGUGAGAUUAAGGAAGGCUUCACAGAGGAGGAGGUUAGACUUAGCCCAACUCCUGAUGGAAAGGAGGUGAGAAGCAAAGGGAGGGAGGAAGGGAGACCAAGUUGGGGACAUAGCAUGUAAGAAAAGCACAGAGGUAGGAGGAGCCAUGCACGUUCAAGGACAUAAGAAACUGCCUGGCAGAAGCAGAAGGUUCAUGCUCAGGAGUGGAGGGAUAUGAGUUUGGAAAGCUGGUUGGGGAAAGCUGAAAAAGGCACUAAACAGCAAGCUGCAGAGACUGGACCUACUUCAUGUCGAGAUGGUACACUCCAAACUACCCUCUGGAUGCAUGCAUUAAAUAUUUUUUAAAGAUGAAGAAGAAAGAAAGGGCACAGCAGAAAUUAAAAGCAAGAUCAACAUCUUUGUGACCCAGAAACAAUCAAGACAGUGGUGGGACUCUGGCUACACAGCUGGAAGCCUGCAGAAGUGGCUGGGUGUUCCAUUCAUGUGGGUACAUAGGUCGAAAGCCCCUGGCCUGAAAUCAGGGGUGGAGUCAGGCUCUCCCACAUGGGGAAGGAGGCUGAGAGAAAUUGGGACCAUUGCCCUCGGGCCAGGGCUGAGAUGGAGCCACAUCCCUGCCUGAGAAGAAAGCCUGGGAGGAGCUCACCAAGAGAUGGAAGCCUGGGUCAUUAAGGUCUGUUUCUAGACUGAAAGGCCUAGAUGAUCGGGCAGAGCCAACAAGAAGGCCAGCAGACGAGGAGGGAAAAACAGAGAGAGAAAGAGGAGAGAAACACACCAACACUCCCAUCCCAUCUGAACCUACCAACCAAAUUCCCUAACACACAAGGCAAAUGAACAUUAUGAGAACUGACGAAGUAUGCAACCACAAGGCAAACUCUCACAGGAUGAAAUGCAAAUAGCAAAGCAAUAUCAAAAUGGCUUAUCACCUGAGAUCCUUCAAGUGAAAAAAAUAUAUAUAUAUAUCUAUAUAUAUACACACACAUAUAAAAAGAAUAAGAAGCCAUAAAACAAAAACAGGCGGGCCCAAAUUAUAACAGAUGGCUAUCAUAAGGAUCAAAUUAGAAAUGCUGGAAAAGAAAGAUAUAGCCCCUGAAAUCAAAGGUCAGUGGAUUGGGGGAUAUACUCCAGAAUGGACACAUUAAAGAAAAUUCACGAAUUGAAAAUAAUAGGAGGAAUUCAAUCAGAAUACAGCUAGAGCUUAGGAACUGAAAAAUAUAAAACAGAAGGUAAGAUAUAUUGAGGACAGAUUGAAAGUCUCCAAUAUAAGUUUGGGGGCUAUUGGCUGGAUGCAGUGGCUUAUGCCUGUAAUCCCAGCACUUUGGGAGGCCAAGGCAGGCAGAUCACCUGAGGUAAGGAGUUUGAGACCAUCCUGGCCAACAUGGCAAAACCCCAUCUCUACUAAAAAUACAAAAAUUAGCCAGGCGUGGUGGUGCACACCUGUAGUCCCAGCUACUCAGAAAGCUGAGGCAGGAGAUUCACUUGAACCUGGGAGGUGGAGAACCUGGGAGGUGGAGGUUGCAGUGAGCUGAGAUUGCACUCUAGCCUGGGUAACAGAGUGAGACUCCUUCUAUUAAAAAAAAAAAUUGUGGGGCUAUUGCAAAAGGAGAAAAUAAGGGAAAUAAGGGGAAAGGCAGUAAAGCAAUAUCCAAAAAGAUAGUGGAGCCGGGUGUGGUGGCUCAAGCCUGUAAUCCCAGCAAUUUGGGAGGCCAAAGCAGGAGGAUCACUUGAGGCCAGGAAUUCGAGACCAACCUGGGCAACAUAGCAAGACACUCUCUCUACAAAAAAAAAAAGAAGAAUGAUGGCUGAGAAUUUUCCAUAACUAAAAAAGCAGCCCUAAGAUUGAAAGUACACACUGAUGCCAGGCAAGAUAAAUAAUAAUGAAUCUGUAUAUAGCUAUAUUAUGGUGAAACUACAGAAUUUCAGGAAAAAGAGGAAAAAUCUUAUAAUAUUUGGUCUUAUUCUUCAACCACAGAAGCUGUUAAACAAAGGCUUACAUUAGGAAACUGGUAUUUUAAGUGGAUUCUGGCAGCAGUGCAAAAAUAGAAAGGACCAGAAAAAUGAGAGCAAAUCAAUUCUACCAGAAGAUGCCUGCAUGAAGUUUUUAAUCUAGUGGAGGACAAUGGCUUGUAUGUAUUUGUCUCACCUUGCUCUACCAAAAAAAUACUAGGCUCAAGCUAGACACUUACAUAAAUAUUAGCUAUAGCUUUAUUAAUUGGAUAAGUUUCCAUUUCAUUUAAUUUCAGUUUUUAAGAUACGGGUUCUCUCUGUAUUGCCUA